CUGGGACCAAACAUUGAUUUGUGGAAAAAACAAUAUUGGCAACGCAAAACACAGAAUGAACCCCUGAUUAAGGCUGGCUGUGACUUUCCGCUGUUUGACCACUCUUGAGGUCACUGCUCCAAGGUGACCACCGGCUUGCCGAUGGAUGUCCACCCCUCCCUCGGAUCUUUUUCUUCUUUUUUUUCCGCUGGGAACUCCGCCACAUGUGCCGAACAUCUGCAUAAUUCUCCACGGUGCUAAGUUUGGCCAACACAAUGGCGGACUGGACCAAAUACCAGCGGCAUUCAUGGUGAAACGCUACACCGUGACCACGACGCCGGGUGACCGUGGGACUUUGCCCCAAGGUGCAAAACGCAGACGGGCAUCAAAGGGACGUACGACCCGUGACAAUGCAUGCGCGUGCACGAGAGGGCGCACUGUAUGUGCCUGCACCUGUGCAUUUGUGUCUUUUUAUGAGCUCAUGAGCAGCGGUGUUCUCCCCCACUCAAACCGGCCCCUUCCCCCCCCCUCCCCCGUUUGCCUCAUGAUCAAAGCCGCUGCCGUGCCACCGCUUCGUUUGAUACUCUUGCACAAUAGAGCCUGUUGAGGUUUUGAUUUCUUCAUCCAUUCAGCUCCAGAAAGGCCAGCCCUCCCCCUCCUCCAAUGGGCAGUGGGGGGAGGAGAGGGUGUGUGUGUGUGUGUGUG